rnacentral:tRNA from 1 species
GGUGGGCUCAGUGGUUAGAGCGUAGUUCUCGUAACCGAAAGGUAGCGGGAUCGAAUCCCCUAGAGACUG